CCUGCGGGUGCUACCAUGCAAGUCGAACGGGGUAUGAAUAAUACCUAGUGGCGAACGGGUGAGUAACGCGUGAGCAACCUGACCUUUUGAGGGGGAUAACAACCGGAAACGGUUGCUAAUACCGCAUAAGACCACACUGUCACAUGGCAGAGGGGUCAAAGGAGCAAUCCGCAGAAGGAGGGGCUCGCGUCCCAUUAGAUAGUUGGUGAGGUAACGGCUCACCAAGUCAGCGAUGGGUAGCCGAGCUGAGAGGCUGAUCGGCCACACUGGAACUGAGACACGGUCCAGACUCCUACGGGAGGCAGCAGUGGGGAAUAUUGGGCAAUGGGGGAAACCCUGACCCAGCAACGCCGCGUGAGUGAAGAAGGCCUUCGGGUUGUAAAGCUCUGUCGCAGGGGAAGAAAAAAAUGACGGUACCCUGUGAGGAAGCCCCGGCUAACUACGUGCCAGCAGCCGCGGUAAUACGUAGGGGGCGAGCGUUGUCCGGAAUUACUGGGCGUAAAGGGUGCGUAGGCGGCAUGUUAAGUUGGAUGUGAAAUACCCGGGCUUAACCUGGGGGGUGCAUUCAAAACUGGCAGGCUAGAGUGCAGGAGAGGGAAGCGGAAUUCCUAGUGUAGCGGUGAAAUGCGUAGAUAUUAGGAGGAACACCAGUGGCGAAGGCGGCUUUCUGGACUGUAACUGACGCUGAUGCACGAAAGCGUGGGGAGCAAACAGGAUUAGAUACCCUGGUAGUCCACGCUGUAAACGAUGAAUACUAUGUGUAGGGGGUAUGAACUCCCCCUGUGCCGCAGCUAACGCAAUAAGUAUUCCGCCUGGGGAG
rnacentral:rRNA from 1 species